AAGUGACCUUAGUCUAGUGGCAGAUGAUAAGUCCACUGAUGGACAGGCACCAUCACACCAGGGAUCGAGUCCCUCUCCUUACAAUUUGUAGGGAUUAGGCUAAUGGGCCGGCCAGUUGUGGCCCAAGGUUGACAAAAAAAAAAAAAAAAAGUUUAUUAAUCUCUAGCCAAGCUGUAUAGGCCCUCUUGAUGAUCUAGGACCACAAAUCCCUUUUGAUAUAUAACAAGAAAAUUUAUGUGUACAACCCUCUUUAUGAUGAUACAGUUUAUGUCUUGGACCCAAAAACGUUUACAAUAUGUUUUUCAAAAGAUCAAAGAAAAUUAAUUAACUAAUUGGUUUUUGCCUUUUUCUGCUCAAGUUCUCUGACUUGUAUUGUGAAUAAAAAAAAAUUUACUCAUGUUGUUCUCUGUAAACUCUUCCAACAAAAUAAAACCAAAGCAUCA
rnacentral:lncRNA from 1 species